rnacentral:lncRNA from 1 species
UCUGUCCCCACCGAGGGGACUAUGGGAGACAUGGAGGGUGUGUGAGCAACAGGUGAGACUGGAGCCAGCUGAAAACUGGGAGACCGACCCAGCCAACAAACAAUGUCGGUCUCUGUCUUGGCACCUGCAGGAAACAAGCUCCUACUUCCAGAAAAAGUGCUCCUGGGACUCCAGGAUACCAGGCAUCUGGGUAAGCUACAAUGCUUAACCACUUAACACAAUCAGGAAGCAACAGCCAUGCAUUCGGGAAAGGAACUUCAGUGUUGUGUGGCUCAGUCUCCAGACCUAACUUUCCCUUUGGUACAGACGCGGUGGUACAUGCCUGUAAUCCCAACACUUAGGCAGGAGGAUCACUCGAGCCCAGAAGAUCAAGACUAGUGUGAGCAACAAAAUGGGCUUGGUGGUGGGCACCUGUAAUCUCAGCUACUUGGAAGGCUGAGGCAGGAGAAUUGCUUGAACCCGGGAGGCGGAGGUCACAGUGAGCCGAGAUCGCACCAUUGCACUCCAGCGUGGGCUACAGAACAAGACUCUGUCUCAAAAGGAAAAAAAAAAGAAUUCAGAAUUCACCUGUCGCCUGCUGCUGCAGUGAACAGUGAGUGGCAC